AAUAUUCGUCCUAGCAAAUCGUGCCCAGCCAUUCCAUUCACUGCUCAUCUGUUUACCUGUGAUAGUAUUUGAUGAUACACAUAUAGAGUCGAACAAAACACGAUGUUUCCAGGAUACUAAACUUGUAAGGGAACAGCGUAUCCUAAAAAGGAUUUAUGAUUAAACUCGGCAAGAUGCACGCCAUCGAGAUUGACUCGGCAGAACGAGAAAAAAUCCCCAUGAUUCUGGUGCAAGUAUUCAUGUUGGGGAUGAUCUUUCUAGGAUUCAUCGUCAUUUGGCAAAUCUACAUCAUGAAUCAAUUUCUCUCAGAAAUCAGCGAGGAGCUGGGAAAUGGGAAAAUACAGCUACAGAUGAAGGGUGUGAACAAAGACAGAAUCUUAAGAAAAAUUAUGAAUUUAGAUUGAUUUCUUUAAAAUAUUUUGAUGUUUUUCUUUGCAAUUCCCGAUCUGAUUUAAAUUUUUAGAACAAAGCCUAUAAUAGCUGCAGAUCUGUAGCUCACUCGUCUUGUACAAAAUGGGAUGGACGACCAUGAAUAUCUAUUUAGAUCAAAGUGCUGACGAGUAAGGAACUGUAGCUCAGAGAUCGUCCAUUUCAUUUUUUUUUUUUGCAAGCUAAGUCCAUAAUAGAAGGAAUACUUAAGUUUUUACAGCAUGUAGCUCUCUCUCAGUUACAACAGUUUUAAAACAUUCACUUACUUCUAACGUGCUUUUAUGUAAUUGCUUUAAGGAAAUAUAAGGAGAAAGUUGUCCUUAA